UUACCAGAAAUGAGAGGCAGAUAAUCCAGAAGAAAAAGGAUCAAUGAACAAUAUCUUCUUGGGCUUCAGAAAGAGCAGAUCAUCCGGAGCAGCUACUCUGAUCCCCGUAAUACAGCUGGCUUUAAUAAGAGGAGCUUGAAAGACUGCUUUCAAAAUUCUUCAGGGUUCCCAAAUCUAAGGCGGCUUCUAGCAGUUAGCAAACAAACUCUCAGACACCACUGGACCAUCCAGCGUGUUCUCUUUGGUAAAUGAAUCCAGCUAAUGUGAUGUGCUGUUUUAUUGUCUAAAUAAAAUGGGACCAGUAUAGCAAAUCCAUUUUCAAAUCAUAUCUUCUUUUAUCCUUACAGAUUGUUCUGCGAUAGAGCUGGCCAUUUUAGCAAGAAAAACACGGUGUUGCCUUCCUUUUCACCACUCCUGUAGCACCAAAACCCAACCCCGUACAUGUACCCACCACAUCUGAAGGACAACAGUGCGCGACUUGCUUUCAUGGAUGCUGGCACCGUGGUGCAUGGGGAAGAGGUGUUGAUGUGGGCACUCAUUAACAGGAAAUUUUCUUGACCACUUGUGGUCAUAUGUGUGUAUAUAACCAUAGCCUAAUGAAGGGAGCCUGAGCCUCAGCAUGAAACCUGUCCAUCACCAGCAAUGGAUGAGUCUUUCCAACCCCUUGAUGUGGGAAAAGAAGGGCUCCAUCAAAUACAAAGCAGGACUGAGAGCUGUUACAGGAUGCCCUGGAGCACUUCACUUUCCUGCUGCUGGUGGCACAGUUGUCUGCAGGAGACCCCACGUGCAAGCUCUUCAGGCUUACUCUCUCGGUCAGCAACCAGCACAGAGAUGAUGCUCGUAGUCCCAGCUGAAAGCACUUUGGGUCUGGAGGAGGUGGUGUCACCUCACCAGCAUCCUGCUUGCACAGCUUGUGCUGAGUGGAAGCAUUAAAACAUGCAAAUGUGGGGUGAUUAAAGUUGUUUUGUGUUUGUUUGUUUGUUUUUUAAUCAGUGAACCUUUGCAUCGUAGAUCACACAAAGAGGAAAAUCACACUUGGUUUCCCAUAGUGCCUAAUGACUACUUUGAAAAGCAUGGGGGAGCAUGUGCUUACACUUGUUGCCUUUGAAAAAGCCCAGAUAUCUGGGUGAACCUACCCUGGAAAACUGAUUUCAGCAUCUACAUUUUCCCCCGUCUUCUUUAUCUUUAGUGAACAAAACAGUUUGCUGAAUUCAACUGGAAUUUACAAGGAAUUUUAAGUCAAUCAGAACUACAUUUUCUGAAGGACAAAUAGUGUGUCAGAAAUAAUUUUCUGACUUUGCUUUUGAUCUACUAUUGACCAUUGGUCAAGUUGUUUACUUUCUUGCUACUUGUUGUUUACUUUCUUCAGCUGUCUGGCAACACAUCAUAUUUCUUCACAGCUUGCAAACAAGUCAAAUCAGAAAACACUUUUAAUUUGGCAAACAGAUUACAAAUACGCUUUUAUAUUAUCUGAAUGGCUCUAAAGCCAACCCACAUGUUUCUAAGUGAUUUGUCUAGACAAUGGGUGAGUCAAACCUUUUAUCCUUUCUGUUUUAUACAAUAAUCGGUUCUGCUCAGUUAAGAUUUCAUUUUAUUUUACCAAAAAUGAAUGCCUUUCAUUACUAUGUGCUGUUUAAUUUAACAUUGUAUUGACAUUUUGCAUACUAAUUCACUUUGCUCAGGGUAGAGUCACAAGCCUGCUCGAACAACGCCACACACACAAUGUAAGUUCAUUGUAUGUGCUCGUAGUGUCCUCAAAGACGAGAUUAUAGAAUGCAAGAUAUCCUAUUCACAAAAAAAAAAAAAAAAAAAAAAAAAAAAAAAGGCUAGGGAGAUGAAAGGAAGUUCAGUGAUGAAUGGAGAGAGCUGGAGAGCUGCUGCUGAGCCUUCUCUUUAUUGCCAUUCUGUGACAUUUUCAAUUGUUCUGUCCGGAUGAGUAAUGAGGACUUCAUUGCUUUUGCUAAGCUUCACUGCGAAUUGCUGGUGGUUAAUCUCAGGACAGUCAGGGCUCCCAGUCCUGGUGACGGGAACAUUUCAACUGCCCUCUGUAGUUACAGUGAAUUCUCUUGGGUGACCUUGAGAAAGGGGUCCCUGCCUAUACCAGCAGCGAUAGGACAUCUUCUCUUAAUGACAAGCAUCUCCCACAUGCUCUGGCCUCAGUUUUUCUUCCUCUAGUUUUUUCUUUAGGCUUCUGUGCACAGUUAGUGAGACUAUGAACUAAUAGAGCUGAGGAGCAAUGACCCACCUGAUCAGGCUUUCCACUGUUACAUUUUGCCACAAAUCACUGGGACACAUGCUACGAAUGAACAUAAAAUUACCUAUCCCAACAGAAAGUUUAUGAUUACAGUGAACAUCACUUCAUAGAACCAUCCUGUUUGGAAAAGACCUUCAAGAUCAUUAAGUCACACCAUCAACCUGACCUACUGAGUCCCAUCACUAAACCCUGUCUCAUAGUGCCAUGUCUACACGUCUCUUGAAUACUUUUGGAGAUGAGGACUCCACCACUUCCCUGUGCAUCCCCUUCCAAUGCUUCACCACCCUAUCCAUGAAGAAAUUCAUCCUUUUUUUUUUUUUUUUUUCUUCCUAAAAUCCACCUACAUCAGGAGAGAAAGUGUAGUGCCUUCUGCUUGUCAGAUCUGAAAUGUUAGCCCAAUUAUGUUAAAUACUCCAGCAUUUGCCUAGGCUUAUAAAAAAUAUCUCAAAUCUCUAAUCAAUUUCUUCAGAUUUCCUUUAGUUUGCAAUAAACGCAGACACAAUCAUUCA
rnacentral:lncRNA from 1 species